GUAGUUUCUUACGAUCCCUUCUCAGGCCAGCGUCAUGAAUAUUAUGAUCCUCAUCUGAACUAUCGGUGCAGUUCUCCAACUCCAGGUAUGAUUCAACUGAAAGAACCUUGCCAGGGUCCUGCUUGGGCUGACGCCUGCACAACACUGACACACAGGGCUGGGUGGCAAAUCCCAUGUGUGUAUGUAUGUUCUAAACUCAACACAUAUUGUAUUGUCCUGGUGAUCUUCUUCUGGGGGCAGAUAGGUUUAUACUGAAACCCCUUUAUAGGAAAGGAUAUUCCAUUAUGAUAAUUAGCAGAGCAACUAUAAAUCAGCACACGGUGUGAGUGAAGUCCUGUGGAAGCACAGUAAAACAAACUGGAUGUCAGUAGCAGGUACUAGAUUCCAGCAAUCCAGAGCCAAUGAAUAUAUCACUCACAAGUUAUAUUUGGUCUUGGAAUUUACUGGCUUUGGCUGUUGGCGAGUUCCAGGACACAGCCUGCAUGGCCAGUGAUCACUGUAUAUACAAGUAGAUGAUCAUUACUGGAGUUUUCCCCAUGUCAGCGUGGGCUUCGUGUAAGUAUGAGAGCAGGACUGCUGCACAUGGCUGGCUCAGACUGAGGUGAGUAGUUCACGCCACUGUAAAAAUACUACUCAGGUCCGACUGGCCUAGUCCAACAAUUCAAGGUAGUAAAAAAAGUUCAUCGGAGCAAAAGAAUAGUACACGGAUCUCUGCUGUAGCAAGGUGAGGACAGAGAUCAUCACAUUCCAUGGCCAUGUGCCUGCAGUGUACCCCUUUCCAGAUCCCUGUAGGAUUAUAUAUUGGUCAUAAUGUCAAACAGUUGAAGCACAAAGAAAUUUCC